AUUCCUCUCAGUAGAUUAAGACACUACUAACCUUUUCCCAGAGUGAGGCUUAUCCAUUGCACUCCGGAUGUGCUGAUCCCUGUGAUUUCCCCAAAGGUGGGAAACUCAACUACAUCAUUUGUGGUGGGGGGGACUGCGUUCACGCUCUCCCCUG
rnacentral:snRNA from 1 species